rnacentral:snoRNA from 1 species
CUUUCAGGGAUCAUUUCUAUAGUUUCUGACUUGGAAGUUUGAUUUGAAAGUGUAACGUCUCUCUAACCACGAUGACGAGUUAAGAUGCUUUCUUCUGAGCGUGAAUCGAGUGGUGAGCGACGAGCGAGAUUGUCUGCUCUCUGUCAUUGAUGAACGUUCCUGCUGUGCUUUGCAGUCUGGAAGAAGAAAGCAUGUUCAGCGUGGU